rnacentral:rRNA from 1 species
UACGUAGGGGCCAAGCGUUGUCCGGAUUUAUUGGGCGUAAAGAGCUCGUAGGCGGUUCGGCAAGUCGAAUGUGAAAUCUCCACGCUCAACGUGGAGGGGUCAUUCGAUACUGCCGUGACUUGAGUACGGUAGGGGAGUGUGGAAUUCCCGGUGUAGCGGUGAAAUGCGCAGAGAUCGGGAGGAACACCCGUAGCGAAGGCGGCACUCUGGGCCGAUACUGACGCUGAGGAGCGAAAGCGUGGGGAGCGAACGAGG